rnacentral:tRNA from 1 species
AGUUAAUGAACUUGUAUUAUAGUAUUUAUUUUGAAAAUAAAAAAAAAGAGAACUCUCUUAUUGACUU